rnacentral:lncRNA from 1 species
CUUGAGUCGUGAGUAAUGCUUAUGAGUGAAGAAAGUUGCUAUUAAAAAGACAUUUAGCCCAAGUAUGAUGUCGUUUUGUAGUAAAAAUAUGAUUUUGCACCCAUCUUUGCAAUAGAAAAUCAAGUGUCUUUGACCUAUCUUAGUGUUUCUUGUCAAUUAGGACAUAGAAUAGGCAUAAUCAAAUAAUUUACUUAUUGCAUGAUUGUAAUAUAUAUAGACAUAAUUGUACAGUGUAAAAUCUUUCCAUAAUCAUCAGCCUAGAUUGAGAAUAAUUACUGAAAAUCAACGUGUAACUAGGGAUGUAAUUACCUAUGAUCUUCUAUCUAAAUAGAGGAACUCUCAUAAUGAAAUUAAUUAAAUUCGAAUUGACAUGGUAUCAGAGCCAUAAAUAAUUUACCUCAGUGAUUGCUCGUGGGAGUAGGUCUUGUGGUUUUGGAAACCAAUUUUAAAUCGUUUGAGUCCUUCUUUUUGGUUACCAGGCUCUUCAAUUCUGGGUUUUGGUAGAUGAGUUUUGGUUUCUGUUUGAAGCUCCAUGGAAUUUCCAUAAAUUUGCUUCUUUGGCGUUCUCGGCGUCUUCAGUUCAAUCGGCACAUGUCGACGACUUCUGUGGUGAUUUGGUGGUCUUGGAGUUCUGCGCUGGUGAAUUAUUGUGUGAUCUGGCAACUUGAUCAGCACGGAUCAAC